rnacentral:rRNA from 1 species
CCCUUAGAUGUUCUGGGCCGCACGCGCGCUACACUGAUCAGUGCAACAAGCAUCCGUCCUUGGCCGACAGGCCCGGGCAAUCUUUGAACGCUGAUCGUGAUGGGGAUAGACUUUUGCAAUUUUUGGUCUUCAACGAGGAAUUCCUAGUAAACGCAAGUCAUCAACUUGCAUUGAUUACGUCCCUGCCCUUUGUACACACCGCCCGUCGCGCCUACCGAUUGAAUGGUCCGGUGAAGCCUCCGGAUUGGCGUGCACCCUCGGGUGCUGCCGAGAAGUUGGCUAAACCUUACCAUUUAGAGGAAGGUGAAGUCGUAACA